AUAGAGCAAAAAAUGACAUAAAAAAAACUAAUAAGUAAAAGUACACAGAGGUCAAAAAACUAUGGGCUGGGGGCCAAAUGCAGCCCACCACCUCCUGUUUUUGUUUUCCUGGAACUCAGCCCCACUCAUGUUUUCUCCAUGGCUCCUUUUGAGCUACAGUGGCCAGGCCGGGUACCUGCAACAGGGACCAGACAUUACAAAUGUCUGCUGACCCCUGCUACCAGAUACUACACAACAGACAAAAGCAAGAGUUAUUGGGGGCUUCAGUCUCCUGAGCACUGAAAUGAAGACAAUAUUCCCUCUUUUCUUCAGCGGUACACAGUUCAAUUUUUUUUUUUUUUUUUUUUGAGAUGGACUCUCGCUCUGUCACCCAGGCUGGAGUGCAGUGGUGCAAUCUUGGCUCACUGCAGCCUCCACCUCCCGGGUUCAAGCGAUUCUCCUGCCUCAGCCUCCCAAGUAGCUGGAACUACAGGCAUGCACCACCAUGCCUGGCUAAUUUUUGUAUUUUUAGUAGAGACAGAGUUUUGCCAUGUUGGCCAGGCUGGUCUCAACUGAUCCACCUGCCUCAGCCUCCCACAGUGUUGGGAUUAUAGGCGUAAGCUGCCGUACCCGGCCCACAGGGUUCAAUUAGAUAAACAAUAUGAGUGCAAGAACUUUUGUGUAGGAAGGAAUGUCCUCAGCCUACUCCUCAGCUUCAGCUUCACAACUACCCUCUUCAGGUUCAAUUACCAGAAGCUAACUUCCUACAAGAGAAAAAGGGCAGGCCCUUCUAUGACAGCACGGAAAGACCUCAAGCCACGUUUCUCCCACCAGUAACAUCUUGCAAAGCUACAAUAUCACAGCAAGGUGAGUGAUGCUGACACAAUCCACAAUCUUAUUCAGAUAUCUCGGGUUUUACAUAUAUGCGAGUGUGUAUGAGAGUGUGUGUGUGAUCACACGUAGGUUCAUGCAUCCACCACCACAGUCAAGAUACAGAACAGUCUGAUCACCACAGGGAUCCCCUGGUUUGACCUUUUAUAACCACAUCUACCUCCCUUGUUCCUCCUUGCCAACCCCUGGCAACCACAAAUCUUUGCCAUUCAAGGAUGUUAUACACACAGAAUCAUUCAGUGUGACCUCUGGAGAUUGGUUUUCGUCACCAACAAAGCCCCCUGGAGGUCCACCUGGGCUGUUUAGCAAGAGUCUGUUCCUUUUUGGUGCUGAGCAGAGUUCUGUGGUAUGAAUGCACAGUCUGUCUGACCCGCUGGAGGUCACCGUGGAAAGACAUGUGGGUGGUUUCCAGUUUUUAGCUGUUACAAAAAGGGCUGCUGUGAACAUUUCUGUACAGGUUUUUUGGUGAGUGUCAGUCUUCAUUUCUCUGGGAUAAAUGCCCAGGAGCACAAGUACAGGGUAAUUGCGUGUUUAGUGUGUAGGAACCUUCCAAACUGUUUUCCGGAGUGACUGUGUCAUUUUCCAUCCCCAUCAGCAACAGAUGAGAGAUCCAGUUUCUCUGCACCUCCAUUUGGUGUUGUUUCAGUGUCUUUAUUUUAGCCCUUCUGCUAGUUAAGUAAUGUCUGCUUUAGCUGCUUACAACACUACAUUUACAUAUCAGGUUAAAAGAUUAAAGUAAAAUUAAAAAGUAAUCCAUACUUAUUUUGUGGAAAACUGAAAAAUACAGAAAUACAUAAAAAGGAAAUAAAGUCCUGUUUCUUCUCUUAGGAAAAAACCCGCCACACUGCUGUUUAUACCUAAAUCAACGUACCCAACUGGCAGACAGCACGAGGCAGGUGCCACUGCUUUCUUCUCACCCCAGGGCUCCACUUGGAACUCUCCUCACCAGGAUGACAACUCUGCCCUGGGCCUCUGCUAACAUCCCUGUGGCCCUUUGCGUCAGAGCCUCACCUGAGGCUUUACCAGACAUCCUCAGUUCUCCUCAAAACAGACAGCUGCAGCCCCAGUUAAAGAAAGCACUGAGGGCUCUCUCCCAAAUGUGAGCCACAGACAUGUCAACGGGACAGGGCAAGUGGGUCCCAGGGCUCCAGGCAGCGGUGCAUGCACAUGUGGGGAGGAGCGCCAGCUCGCUCCAGAACAGGUUUCCUCACUGCUUAUUGUCCUGUAAAGGCUUUGGCAGCCUAGUAAAGCCUAUGGGCCUCUCUCAGAAUAACUUUUUUUUUUUUUUUUAUGAGAUGGAGUCUCGCUCUGUCGCCCAGGCUAGAAUGCAGUGGUGCAAUCUUGGCUCACUGCAAUCUCUGCCUCCCAGGUUCAAGUGAUUCUCCUACCUCAGCCUCCCAAGUAGUUGGGACUACAGACGCCUGCCACCACGCCUGCUUAAUUUUUUUGUAUUUUCAGUAGAGGUGGGGUUUGACCAUGUUAGCCAGGAUGGUCUCAAUCUCCUGACCUCAUAAUCCACCCGCCUCAGCCUCCCAAAGUGCUGGGUUUACAGGCGUGAGCCACCACACCCGGCCCAGGAUAACAUUUUAAAAUGUGUAAUAUAAAAUACAGGUGGCAGAAAUGUAAAAUACC
rnacentral:lncRNA from 10 species